rnacentral:rRNA from 1 species
UACGUAGGUGGCAAGCGUUGUCCGGAUUUACUGGGCGUAAAGCGCACGUAGGCGGAUCGUUAAGUCAGGGGUGAAAUCCUGGGGCUCAACCCCAGAACUGCCUUUGAUACUGGCGAUCUCGAGUCCGGAAGAGGUGAGUGGAACUCCUAGUGUAGAGGUGGAAUUCGUAGAUAUUAGGAAGAACACCAGUGGCGAAGGCGGCUCACUGGUCCGGUACUGACGCUGAGGUGCGAAAGCGUGGGGAGCAACAGG